GAUGAACGCUAGCGGCAGGCCUAAUACAUGCAAGUCGAGGGGUAUAAGGAGCUUGCUUCUUUGAGACCGGCGCACGGGUGCGUAACGCGUAUGCAACCUACCUUAAUCAGGGGGAUAGCCCGGAGAAAUUCGGAUUAACACCGCAUAAAAUCACAGUAUUGCAUAAUACAAUGAUCAAAUAUUUAUAGGAUUAAGAUGGGCAUGCGUGUCAUUAGCUAGUUGGUAAGGUAACGGCUUACCAAGGCGACGAUGACUAGGGGAUCUGAGAGGAUUACCCCCCACACUGGUACUGAGACACGGACCAGACUCCUACGGGAGGCAGCAGUAAGGAAUAUUGGUCAAUGGACGCAAGUCUGAACCAGCCAUGCCGCGUGCAGGAUGACUGCCCUAUGGGUUGUAAACUGCUUUUAUAUAGGAAUAAAUGUACUUACGUGUAAGUAUUUGAAUGUACUAUAGGAAUAAGGAUCGGCUAACUCCGUGCCAGCCGCCGCCUAA
rnacentral:rRNA from 1 species